GAUGAAGAACGCAGCGAAAUGCGAUAUGUAAUGUGAAUUGCAGAAUUCAGUGAAUCAUCGAGUCUUUGAACGCACAUUGCGCCCUCUGGUAUUCCGGAGGGCAUGCCUGUCCGAGCGUCAUUGCUGCCCUCAAGCACGGCUUGUGUGUUGGGCUCCGUCCCCCGAUCCCGGGGGACGGGCCCGAAAGGCAGCGGCGGCACCGCGUCCGGUCCUCGAGCGUAUGGGGCUUUGUCACCCGCUCUGUAGGCCCGGCCGGCGCUUGCCGAUCAACCAAAUUUUUAUCCAGGUUGACCUCGGAUCAGGUAGGGAUACCCGCUGAACUUAAGCAUAUCAAUAAGCGGAGGA
rnacentral:misc_RNA from 1 species